AACAAGGUUUCCGUAGGUGAACCUGCGGAAGGAUCAUUACUGAGUACCGGGUCUCUCAGGCCCUUACUCCCACCCUUUGUGAACCUUACCAAAAUCUUCAGUUGCCUUGGUGGGACUCCAACCUACUCCCAGAUUUUUUAGUUUUUAUAACAUUAAAUCCUUUGGGGGGUUAAAAAGGGAAGGAACUCACCAUUGGAACUUCUUUUUAAACUCUUAUGAAUUGGGUUUGUCUGAGAACAAAAACAAAUAAAUUAAAACUUUCAACAACGGAUCUCUUGGUUCUGGCAUCGAUGAAGAACGCAGCGAAAUGCGAUAAGUAAUGUGAAUUGCAGAAUUCAGUGAAUCAUCGAAUCUUUGAACGCACAUUGCGCCCUUUGGUAUUCCGAAGGGCAUGUCUGUUCGAGCGUCAUUUCAACCCUCAAGCUUCUUGCUUGGUAUUGGGCUUUCAUCCUGUCUAAAAAGAAAGGAUGUGCCUAAAACUCAUAGGCGGUUGUACUCAACUCCCUUGCGUAGUUAAAUUUUUUCUCGCUUGGAAGAUUAGGUGUGACCCGCCUAAGAACCCCCAAUUUUUUAGGUUUGACCUCGGAUCAGAUAGGGAUACCCGCUGAACUUAAGCAUA
rnacentral:rRNA from 1 species